GUCCUUGCCGUAAACGAUGUAUACUAGGUGUAACUGGACUCAACCCCAGUUGUGCCGUAGCAAACGCGAUAAGUAUACCGCCUGAGGAGUACACUCGCAAGGGUGAAACUCAAAAGAAUUGACGGGGACCCGCACAAGCAGUGGAGUAUGUGGUUUAAUUCGAUGCAACGCGAAGAACCUUACCCAGACUUGACAUGCAGAGGACGACUGUAGAGAUAUCGUUUCCCUUCGGGGUCUCUGCACAGGUGCUGCAUGGCUGUCGU
rnacentral:rRNA from 1 species